rnacentral:rRNA from 1 species
AGUGAACGCUGGCGGUAGGCCUAACACAUGCAAGUCGAACGGCAGCACAGUAAGAGCUUGCUCUUACGGGUGGCGAGUGGCGGACGGGUGAGGAAUACAUCGGAAUCUACUUUUUCGUGGGGGAUAACGUAGGGAAACUUACGCUAAUACCGCAUACGACCUACGGGUGAAAGCAGGGGAUCUUCGGACCUUGCGCGAUUGAAUGAGCCGAUGUCGGAUUAGCUAGUUGGCGGGGUAAAGGCCCACCAAGGCGACGAUCCGUAGCUGGUCUGAGAGGAUGAUCAGCCACACUGGAACUGAGACACGGUCCAGACUCCUACGGGAGGCAGCAGUGGGGAAUAUUGGACAAUGGGCGCAAGCCUGAUCCAGCCAUACCGCGUGGGUGAAGAAGGCCUUCGGGUUGUAAAGCCCUUUUGUUGGGAAAGAAAAGCAGCAGGUUAAUACCCCGCUGUCCUGACGGUACCCAAAGAAUAAGCAUCGGCUAACUUCGU